AUUGAACGCUGGCGGAAUGCUUUACACAUGCAAGUCGAACGGCAGCACGGGGGCAACCCUGGUGGCGAGUGGCGAACGGGUGAGUAAUACAUCGGAAAGUGCCCAGUCGUGGGGGAUAACGUAGCGAAAGUUACGCUAAUAACGCAUACGAUCUAUGGAUGAAAGCGCGGGACCGUAAGGCCUCGCGCGAUCGGAGCGGCCGAGGUCGGAUGAGGUAGUUGGUGGGGUAAAGGCCCACCAAGCCGACGCUCCGUAGCUGGUCUGAGAGGACGACCAGCCACACUGGGACUGAGACACGGCCCAGACUCCUACGGGAGGCAGCAGUGGGGAAUUUUGGACAAUGGGCGCAAGCCUGAUCCAGCCAUUCCGCGUGCAGGACGAAGGCCUUCGGGUUGUAAACUGCUUUUGUACGGAACGAAAAGGUCCUGGUUAAUACCCGGGGCUCAUGACGGUACCGUAAGAAUAAGCACCGGCUAACUCUGUGCCAGCCGCCGCCGUAACAC
rnacentral:rRNA from 1 species